CGCACCGUAAACGAUGGAUACUCGUGGUUGGCGAUAGACAGUCAGUCACCAAGCGAAAGCGUUAAGUAUCCCACCUGGGGAGUACGCCGGCAACGGUGAAACUCAAAGGAAUUGACGGGGGCCCGCACAAGCGGAGGAACAUGUGGUUUAAUUCGAUGAUACGCGAGGAACCUUACCCGGGCUUGAAUUGCACAGGACGGCAUCAGAGAGGAUGCUUUCUUCGGACCUGUGUGAAGGUGC
rnacentral:rRNA from 1 species